GACUUCUGCGUAGUCACAGUGCUAAAAGUGCAGAAACAAGGAUCGCAGCCCGGCUCUGUAGUCAAGCUAGCAGGGCACGCACGAGAAGAGAAGUGACUGCACUAGAUCGGACAGACUGGGGCGGGCCUCUUUCUUCACGUCCGGUGUCCUUUGUCUUAGGACUUAUGCAAUGCCU